rnacentral:rRNA from 1 species
UAAUUGUUAGUGGCAGACGGGUGAGUAAUGCGUAGGAAUCUACCUAGUAGUAUGGAAUAGCCAUUAGAAAUGAUGGGUAAUACUGUAUAAUCCCUGCGGGGGAAAGAUUUAUCGCUAUUAGAUGAGCCUACGUUAGAUUAGCUAGUUGGUAAGGUAAUGGCUUACCAAGGCUAUGAUCUAUAGCUGGUCUGAGAGGACGAUCAGCCACACUGGAACUGAGAUACGGUCCAGACUCCUACGGGAGGCAGCAGUGGGGAAUAUUGGACAAUGGGCGAAAGCCUGAUCCAGCUAUGCCGCGUGAGUGAAGAAGGCCUUCGGGUUGUAAAGCUCUUUCAGUAGGGAAGAUAAUGACGGUACCUAUA